rnacentral:rRNA from 1 species
GAAAUAGCUGGUUCUCUCCGAAAUAGCUUUAGGGCUAGCCUCAAGUGAUGAUUAUUGGAGGUAGAGCACUGUUUGGACGAGGGGCCCCUCUCGGGUUACCGAAUUCAGACAAACUCCGAAUGCCAAUUAAUUUAACUUGGGAGUCAGAACAUGGGUGAUAAGGUCCGUGUUCGAAAGGGAAACAGCCCAGACCACCAGCUAAGGCC